rnacentral:rRNA from 1 species
UACGUAGGGUGCAGGCGUUAAUCGGAAUUACUGGGCGUAAAGCGUGCGCAGGCGGUGAUGUAAGACAGGUGUGAAAUCCCCGGGCUUAACCUGGGAACUGCAUUUGUGACUGCAUAGCUAGAGUACGGUAGAGGGGGAUGGAAUUCCGCGUGUAGCAGUGAAAUGCGUAGAUAUGCGGAGGAACACCGAUGGCGAAGGCAAUCCCCUGGACCUGUACUGACGCUCAUGCACGAAAGCGUGGGGGAGCAAACAGG